UGGCUCAGUGGUAGAGCGCUUGCCUCACAUGCAUGAGGCCCUGGGUUCGAUUCCUCAG
rfam:Dipodomys ordii contig_21167, whole genome shotgun sequence.